UACGUAGGGUGCAAGCGUUAAUCGGAAUUACUGGGCGUAAAGCGUGCGCAGGCGGUUAUGUAAGACAGUUGUGAAAUCCCCGGGCUCAACCUGGGGAACUGCAUCUGUGACUGCAUAGCUAGAGUACGGUAGAGGGGGAUGGAAUUCCGCGUGUAGCAGUGAAAUGCGUAGAUAUGCGGAGGAACACCGAUGGCGAAGGCAAUCCCCUGGACCUGUACUGACGCUCAUGCACGAAA
rnacentral:rRNA from 1 species